UUAAUUGGAGCUGGCCAAUAAUAGAGAGUGGUCAAGCUAAUUUCAACUCAACAAAGUGGCGUGCUCUCGAUUGAUGUAGUUUGGCAACAUUUAACUUCUGUUUAGGUUAGCUUGGUGAUGUUUUUUGGAGCUGUGUUUUGUGCAGUUUCUAUGCUAGUUUUUGUGCUGAUUUUUGGUGGUUAGGUGUUGCUGUCUGCGCAGCAGUUUGGUGGCGUUUUGGAGCUUCUUUUGUGCAGUUUGGUGAUGUUUUUCGGAGUUGUGUUUUGUGCAGUUUGAUGCUGAUUUUUGGUAGUUUGAUGCAGCAAGUUGGUGCUGAUUUUUGGUGGUUUGAUGUUGUUGUCUAGUGUAUAACUUUUGGUGCUGAUUUUGCAGUUGUCUACUGAUUUUUUUGGGUGUUUUGGUGCUGUAAUUCGAUAGCUGCUAUUUUUUGUUGUAGUUUAAGCUAUUUUCUGCACAAAAAUUGUUGAAAACAGAGCACUAUAGUUCAAUUAAGUUGCUGAUUUUUGAAUUUUUCUGCAGUUUCAUUGAUGUAAUGACCGAUUAUUAACAUGAAAAUAGAAUCAUAGUUUUGCUCACAAUAUUUUCUCAAUUGUGUUGUUACCUAGCAUUUUGCUUGAGCAACUAAUACUGGAUCGUUUGUAUAAUUUGAUGGAGAUUCCGGAGAGUAUUGGAGAUAUAAUGACACUAAAAUCCAUCGGAAUAUCAUGGUGCGGCUCUGGUGUAGAGACAAGUGCAAAGAAAAUCCAACAAAGCUUGAGAAAUUAUGAACUUCAAGUUAAAAUCUCUCGUAAUAAGAUGAAGAAACAGAAGGUACUUGAAGGAAGCUGGUGAUGAUUGAUCCUCCGUUUAUAGAGUGAUAGAGUAAUCUUGUCAAACAUCAAGAAUUGAAUGGCAAGGAAUUGAGGAAGCUCUUUCAAGAAGUUGACAUUAUCAAAUACUAAAGUACAGUGAAUGUACCACUCGUUGGACGCGUGACUGAGGUAUCUCGAAGAGCUUCGAUGCUUUUAACACAUGCUCUGAUGGGGUUUGGAAAAGAUCCCUCCAUGUAAAAGUGCAGAGCACUGGCUUUAAGAGUUUCACUUAGUUUUCUUCCAGCUGAGUCAAAUUGUCAUAUGCAAUAUUUAUCAGUUACACACUUGGGUAAAUUCAGAGAUUGUCAUUACAAACUUGUCGAAUAUGAAACGGACUAUUUUUGAGCAUUUCUUCACCAAAAUCCGAGAAUACUCUCUUGAUAAACCUUACAUCCAAGAAGUCGAAAAAGAAACAAUCUUAUACGACAAAGAUCAACAACUUCUGCAGAAAAUAAACAACUUGAUUUCGCAUCAAUACAGGUAUAUGGACUUUUGGACUUAAAAGAGUCCAAUGGUAUGGAAAAAAAGAAGCAACUAUAGUCCAAAAGAAUUUUAACACUUUUUUGAUAUGUUAAUAAGAAUCCUUACUGGUUUCACUUUAAAGGGUGUCCUAUGAGUUAUUCAAAGGGUGAGUAUCCUAUGCCUUUGUCCCCCAUUAAGAAAAAGGUAAAUUGUGUGGACAAAAUCUCUUAGCUUCAUAAUAACAAAGGAGAGAGACAUUAAAUCUUUUACUCAUUCCAAACAAACAAAGAGAAAUGGCUUAUGCUGCUAUCUCUUCGCUUAUGUAUACAUUGGAACAACUAUUCAAACCAAAUCAAUCUUUCGUUUGUCCAUGCUCUACACAACAACAUGUCGAAAAUCUCAAUCAAAAUCUUUCUGCUCUGCAAGAUUUCCUUGAUGACACUACCACAAAGGAUAUUGAAACUCUUAAGGUUGUAGAAAAGAGGAUCAGAGAUGUAGUGUACAAAGCAGAGGAUAAAGUUGAUUCAAGCUUAAGAAGCAUCAUUCUAGCAGAUAGCACAGAGAGUAGAGAAGGGGCUGCUAAAUUCUUCGAGGAAGAAUUGGUAAAAGUGGAAAAAGAUGUUGAUUCUCUCAGGAAAGAGGUGACGGUGGUUGAGUUUAACAAGCACGGAACCAAAUCUGCAGAAUUAGCGACAACUCCCUUCUCACCAGAUCAAAAAAGUACAAUUGUGGAAAAUACUGUUGUUGGGAUGAAGGAUGACUUCAACAUCAUACUUGAUCGCCUCACUGCCCAAACAGACGAGUUAAUUGUCAUACCAAUUUUGGGGAUGGGAGGUAUAGGUAAGACAACUCUUGCCAGAAAAGUUUAUGAUGAUUCAUGUAUUCGCUCUCGAUUUGAUAAACUCGCAUGGGUCACAAUCUCCCAAGAAUACAAUGAGAGGCAAAUGCUUCUUGAAGUUGUCUCUUCAAUUACUACCAAAGGCAGUCAAGAAAUGAGCAACGAUGAACUAAUGGAGAUUGUGUAUAGAGGUCUGAAGGGUAGGAGAUUCCUAAUUGUCAUAGAUGAUAUUUGGAGUACUGAGGCAUGGAACCAAAUGCAAAGAAUAUUUCCAAACGAUGACAAUAAAAGCCGAAUUCUAUUAACUACUCGGCUCAAGUAUGUUGCUGAUUAUGUCAACUGCCCUGAUUUUCCACCUCAUAGUAAGUCUUUUCUAAGUCUAGAAGAUAGUUGGAAUCUAUUCACCGAAAAAUUAUUCAAGAAAGACCAGUGUCCUCCUUUACUUGUAGAAAUAGGAAAGCAUAUUGUACAACAAUGUCAAGGAUUACCUCUUUCGAUUGUUGUGGUUGCCGGACUUCUUGGAAAAAUGGACUUAACGCAUGACAAUUGGAAGAACGUUGAGGAAAAUCUGAGCUCAUUCUUUGGUACGGUAUCUGAACGGUGCCAAUCAAUACUGUCUCUGAGCUACAAUUACUUGCCCCAAUAUUUGAAGGCUUGUUUUCUCUAUGUUGGAGGUUUUCCAGAAGACAGAGAGAUCAAUGUUUCCCAGUUGAUUAGGCUAUGGAUUGCUGAGCAAUUCGUAAAGGCAAGAAACAAUAAAAGGUUAGAAGUGGUGGCAGAGGAAUAUGUACAAGAGCUAAUUGAUAGAAGUCUAAUUUUGAUGGAUAGCUUAACAACUAAUGGAAGGAUGAAAACUUUCAAAAUUCAUGAUCUUCUUCGCCAACUAUGCCUAAGUGAAACUCAUACUGAAAAUGUUGUGCAUAUCAUGAAUGGGAAUGUUCCCAUGUUCUUAUUAGAAGCCAUAGAUGAUCAACGGCGAGUGAUCCUUCUGUCUAAACUUGAAGAGAAGCAAGUUUAUCCACCAAUGCAUAGCAAUGGUAUAACAAGUAUAGCUCGUACCUUCAUUUCAAUGCAAUAUUUUCACUACGACGAUUUUCCAGAAGGGAUUUAUUCCAUUUUUUCCGCGUUCAAGUUGCUUAAGGUGUUGGAUGUACUUACAGUUUGGUACGAUUUCUCUAGUGUAAUACCUGAGCUUGUACAUUUGAGAUAUGUUGCUGCAGGAAUUGAGGAAGGUCUUUCACUAGAUAAAUUGAGAAAUCUACAGACCAUAAUUCUUCACAAAAAUAUUGGUGCCAACAGACCAACAAAGUCAGAGCAGCCACUCGAUAUCUGGAGAAUGUCAGAGCUAAGACAUGUGGAUAUUGAUUCGCCACGAUAUAUAUCUAAUCCUCUUGAGGCAGAAAAUCCUUUGUUUCUCAAUAACUUGCAAAAUCUUUAUCUCUAUAACUCUCAUUUUUUUGAGGAAAUCAUAAAAAGAACUCCCAAUCUAAAAACGUUAAAGUUUUUAGAUGAAUCUGAGCAUCCUGACUGGUCUGCGAUUCUUGAUUCUCUUAUUCUUCUAGAGGAGCUGGAGAAGCUAGUCAUACAGCUAGAGAGAAUGAACGUCAACAUUUUCUGUGGAGAUAUUUUGUAUUGUAAAAUCAAGAAAUUAAGUCCUAAUAUCAAGAAAUUGAAAUUAUUAGGUACUUAUAUACCAUGGGAAGUUGUGAAUUUGCUGGCUUAUUUACCUAAUCUUGAGGUGAUCGAAGGGGAGUAUGCAUUUUCUGGUACAGAUUGGAAACUAGAUGAAGAUGUUGUGUUUAGCAAAUUAAAAUAUCUGUUAAUUGGUGAAGCAGAUUUGGAAAGGUGGGAAGCAGCUGCUAGUGAUAAUUUUCCGAUGCUUGAGAAACUAAUACUUUAUGGGUUUAAUAAACUGGACGAGAUUCCGGAGAGUAUUGGAGAUAUAAUGACACUAAAAUUGAUCAAAAUAGACGAUUGUAGCUCUUCGGUAGAGAAUAGUGCAAAGAGAAUUCAACAAGAGCAACAAAGCUUAGGAAAUUAUGAGCUUCAACUUCGAAUUACUUCAAAGAAAUCUGCAACUUCUGAGUCUUCUUCUUCGUGAGUUGUACGUUUCUGCAACUACAGAUAUGGGGAUACGAAAGGAGCUUCAACCAGUAAAGGAUGAUGAUGGAAAAGUUCAUUUAGCUAAAGCUUGUUUCUCCAUGAAAGCAGAAGAGAAGAUGUUGUUUUGCACUGUCCUUAAAAAUGCCAAAUUACCAGAAGGUUGUGUUUCAAAUAUAUCAAGAUGUGUGGAAGUGGAUGAGAAGAAAAUAUCGGGUUACAAGAGUCAUGAUGCUCAUUUCAUAAUGCAUUACCUGCUCCAAGUUGCUGUUAGAAAAGUUUCUGUAGCGUUGAUUCGGUUGGAGAACUUCUUUAGAGUCAUACGUGGCAAGCUGGGAUAAGAAACCUUUCGGAAUAGGGAGAGAGUGAAGGUACCACUCGUUGGACGUAUGAUUGAGGUAUCUCGAAGAGCUUCGAUGAUUUUAACACAUGCUCUAAUGGGGUUUGGAAAAGAUCCAUCCAUGUAAAUCAUAUUGCAGUGUUUCAAUUAGUUUUUAAUACUAAAUAGCCAGUAUUACUAAGUGCACUAUCUUUAAGUGUAUAAUAUUUAUAUAUGAUUGUGUGUGUAUAAUGUUGAAGUAAAGUCACUUAUUUAAUCCUCCGUUUUAUAGAGUGAAUGAGUAAUCUCGUCAAAUGUCAAGAAUUGAA